rnacentral:rRNA from 1 species
GACGAACGCUGGCGGCGUGCUUAACACAUGCCAGUCGAACGGAAAGGCCCUGCUUUUGUGGGGUGCUCGAGUGGCGAACGGGUGAGUAACACGUGAGUAACCUGCCCUUGACUUUGGGAUAACUUCAGGAAACUGGGGCUAAUACCGGAUAGGAGCUCCUGCUGCAUGGUGGGGGUUGGAAAGUUUCGGCGGUUGGUGAUGGACUCGCGGCUUAUCAGCUUGUUGGUGGGGUAGUGGCUUACCAAGGCUUUGACGGGUAGCCGGCCUGAGAGGGUGACCGGCCACAUUGGGACUGAGAUACGGCCCAGACUCCUACGGGAGGCAGCAGUGGGGAAUAUUGCACAAUGGGCGGAAGCCUGAUGCAGCAACGCCGCGUGCGGGAUGACGGCCUUCGGGUUGUAAACCGCUUUCGCCUGUGACGAAGCGUGAGUGACGGUAAUGGGUAAAGAAGCACCGGCUAACUACGUG